AUACGUAGGUGGCAAGCGUUGUCCGGAAUUAUUGGGCGUAACGCGCGCGCAGGUGGUUCCUUAAGUCUGAUGUGACAGCCCCCGGCUCCACCGGGGAGGGUCAUUGGAGACUGGGGAACUUGCGUGCAGAAGAGGAUAGUGGAAUUCCACGUGGAGCGGUGAAAUGCGUAGAGAUUUGGAGGAACACCAGUGGCGAAGGCGACUGUCUGGUCUGUAACUGACACUGAGGCGCGAAAGCGUGGGGAGCAAACAGGAUUAGAUACCCUGGUAGUCCACGCCGUAAACGAUGAGUGCUAAGUGUUGGGGGGUUUCCGCCCCUCAGUGCUGCAGCUAACGCAUUAAGCACUCCGCCUGGGGAGUACGGUCGCAAGACUGAAACUCAAAUGAAUCGACGGGG
rnacentral:rRNA from 1 species